AUUGAACGCUGGCGGCAUGCCUUACACAUGCAAGUCGAACGGUAACGGGCCUUCGGGUGCCGACGAGUGGCGAACGGGGGAGUAAUACAUCGGAACGUGCCCGAUCGUGGGGGAUAACGAGGCGAAAGCUUUGCUAAUACCGCAUACGAUCUACGGAUGAAAGCAGGGGACCGCAAGGCCUUGCUCGGACGGAGCGGCCGAUGGCAGAUUAGGUAGUUGGUGGGAUAAAAGCUUACCAAGCCGACGAUCUGUAGCUGGGCUGAGAGGAUGAGCAGCCACACUGGGACUGAGACACGGCCCAGACUCCUACGGGAGGCAGCAGUGGGGAAUUUUGGACAAAGGGCGCAAGCCUGAUCCAGCCAUGCCGCGUGCAGGAUGAAGGCCUUCGGGUUGUAAACUGCUUUUGUACGGAACGAAAAGCCUUCUUUUAAUACAGGAGGGUCAUGACGGUACCGUAAGAAUAAGCACCGGCUAACUACGUG
rnacentral:rRNA from 1 species